AUCUUCCUGUCCGACCUAGGCAUCUUGCUGAGAGAGACAUACGUCCAGCAGCAGAUCCCAUCCGCCAAUCUACUCCUUUCUCUAUCUUUUGUUUUAGAUUUCAUUCAACCAAUUCCAUAAAAAAACCAAAAGAAUCAUAUCUAGUUUCUGUUCUUGUUCCUGUUGAAAACUCACUAAAGGUUCCUAUCUGUUUCAGGUUCGAACACAAGCAAGAGAUAAGCCGGCCAGUACCAUCCAUCCGAGGCAAGACUGAACCGCGGAACGGCCAUCCGUCCGUCCGUUCGACCCUCCGACCCGUGCCUACAACAUUUUGGUAUCAGAGCUGAAGUUUCCUGCGAAACUCAGUUCUUUCUGAACCCUAGCCGUCGCAAUUCACAAAAAAAUAUUUACUUUCCUUAAGUUUUUCGGAUUGUUCUCCAAGUUUUCGAUUUUUCCAUUUUUUUUUAAAAAAAAACAAAAAGUUAUAUUCACUUUCCUUGUUUUUUUAAAUUUUCGGAUUGUUCUCCAAGUUUUCAAAAAAAAAAAAAAAUAAUAAUAUAUUCUCUCUUUCCUUUUUCAAACCUGAUUCGAUUUUUGUCUUAACUUUUUGCAUUUACUCUUAGACUUGGUCGAUACUCAUAGUAUCCGACCCAAGCAACUAUUUAACCCCCUCUUGCCUUUUAAUCUUUCUUUGAGUUUCUUUUCAGAGAACUAUGGGAGAUGUAGGUCAAGACCAAGCGGCCAUAAACGCUCAGCUCUUAGCUGACAAUGAAGAACUGAGGGCGAGCCUUAGAACUAUCACAGCCGAGCUUGCUCAGCUACGGCAGGGAGGCAGGCCCAACGGACCUCGACCACCAGGAAGGCAUCAGCCGGACCCGCAUGACACUGACUCGGACGCGGACAGUACCGAUGAUACGCGCAGUCAGGACGAGGAGAGGCCAAACCGGGGAGGAAGGAGGAACGCGCGAGGACCCCGGGCCCAAGUAGGAGGAGGCCGUGACCAUAGGGGAGGUCGAGACCGAGAGGAGGAAGAGCCUUGGUUGGGAGGCAAGGCACUUAAGCUUCAUCCCCCAACGUUUGCCGGCAAGGUUGAUCCGGAUGCCUACAUCGUGUGGGAGAAGCGCAUGGAGUACAUCUUCGACUAUUACCAAUAUAGUGAGGCCAAGAAGGUUGCCCUAGCAGCAGCCCAGCUGACGGACAAUGCUCUUUCGUGGUGGGAUCGAGACGUUGCCAAGUCCGGGCCAGUGUGGAGAGCGCGUAAUUGGACCGAGAUGCGGACCAAGCUUCGAGCGAGGUACAUUCCAUCUUACUACCAGCGUGAUGUGCUAAAACGUUUUCGUAAACUUACGCAGGGAACUAAGACUGUGGAGGAGUACUUUGAGGAGUUCGAGGCGCUUAGGAAUAAGCUUGAGACCGACGAGCCCGAGGAGACAAUGAUGUCCCAAUUCCUGGAAGGGCUGCAAGACCGCAUUGCCCGCAAGGUGGAGAGACAACACUAUGAAGACUUCAACGAUCUAUUGCACUUUGCUACGCAAGCCGAGCAGCACAUCAAGCGCAAGACGGCCAGUACCAGCCGCAGCAAACCUGCUUGGACUCAACCGGGUUCAAAGCAAGGCGACAAGGGCAAGACGAUUGAGAUUGAGAGCCGAUUCAAGACAAACCCGGCUGAAUCGUCCAAUGCAUCUAAGCAGGAGCAGGGUAAGACUCAAGCCCAAAACUUGCGUACUCGUGACAUCAUUUGUUAUAAGUGUCAGGGCAAGGGCCACUACGCUCGGGAUUGUCCAAACAAACGAGUGAUGGUCCUAAAGGGGGAUGGCGAGUAUGAAUCCCAAGAUGAGGCAGAGGCUGCGGCAGCAAUCUCUGAUGAGGAAGUAACCGACUACCCGGAGACAGGCGAGCUGCUAGUGACCCGGAGAGCCCUUAGCACCCUCUUUGACCCAGAGACCAUCCAGCGGGAGAACAUCUUCCACACCAGAUGUAGUGUUGAUCACAAGGUAUGUAGUUUGAUCAUAGAUGGCGGAUCUUGUACUAACGUGGCUAGCAAGUAUCUUGUUGAUAAGCUAGGGUUGGUCAAAACUGCCCAUCCUCGACCAUACCGUCUCAAAUGGCUCAAUGAUGAGACUGAGCUCAAGAUUGCCGAACAAGUUGUUGUGUCCUUCAGUAUUGGCAAGUACCACGACCAGGUCAAGUGUGAUGUUGUGCCCAUGCAAGCCGGCCAUAUACUUCUCGGAAGGCCGUGGCAGUUUGACAAGGAGACACUUCACUAUGGCCGCACCAACAUCUACAGUUUCGUCCACAACAACAAGAAGCACAGCCUAGCACCUCUCAGCCCUCAAGAAGUUCAUGAUAUGCAGAAGGCAAUGACGCAGUCCGGCCAGGUAAGUAACACUAACCUUUACAUGACUUCCGGACAAGUGCUUAAAUCAUUACAACGUGAGACACAGGUGCUACUAAUGAUCUUUAAGGAAGGUUGUUUUGCAGGUUUAGAAGCUCCUGAAGUACCGGACGUAGUACAAGACCUCAUGGGACGUUACAAGGAUGUCUUCCCUGAUGAGAUCCCUGCCGGUUUGCCCCCUAUCCGUGGCAUAGAACAUCAGAUCGAUCUUGUACCCGGCGCGCCACUACCAAACCGAGCCGCUUACCGUGUCAACCCUGAGGAAGCUAAGGAGCUGGAACGGCAGGUCCAAGAUCUCAUGGACAAAGGCUACAUCCGCGAGAGCCUUAGCCCCUGUGCAGUCCCGGUCCUACUAGUGCCCAAGAAAGAUGGGACAUGGCGCAUGUGUGUGGACUGCCGAGCCAUCAACAACAUAACCAUCAAAUAUCGGUACCCUAUACCUAGAUUAGAUGAUAUGUUGGAUGAACUGAGUGGGUCUGUUGUGUUUUCCAAGAUUGAUCUCAGGAGUGGAUACCAUCAAGUCCGCAUGAAGUAAGGAGAUGAGUGGAAAACCGCCUUCAAGACCAAGCAAGGUCUAUACGAGUGGCUGGUGAUGCCGUUUGGCCUUACCAACGCCCCUAGCACCUUCAUGAGACUCAUGAAUGAGGUCCUCCGACCUUACAUUGGUAAAUUCGUGGUUGUAUACUUUGAUGAUAUCUUGAUUUACAGCAGGUCUUUAACUGAACACAUGGGACACCUAGAACAGGUUUUGAAAGCCUUAAGGCAAGAAGGCCUUUAUGCUAACCUUAAGAAAUGUGUAUUCUGCACUGAUCAAUUGGUAUUUUUAGGCUUUGUUGUGAGUUCACAGGGACUGAAGGUUGAUGAAGAGAAGAUCAAGGCGAUACAAGACUGGCCGACUCCAACCACGAUCGGACAUAUCCGCAGCUUCCAUGGACUGGCCAGUUUCUAUCGACGAUUUGUGAAGGACUUCAGUACCAUUGCCGCCCCAAUGACCUCCGUGAUCAAGAAGAAUGUAACCUUUGCUUGGGGCCCUGCCCAAGAGGAGUCUUUCAACAGGCUUAAAUAUAGCUUGACACAUGCACCGGUUCUAACUCUUCCUAACUUUGAUAAACCUUUUGAGAUUGAGUGUGAUGCUUCAGGAACAGGAAUAGGAGCCGUGCUGACCCAAGGAGGCCGGCCAGUGGCCUUUUUCAGUGAGAAAUUGAGUGGAGCCGCCCUCAAUUACCCCACCUAUGAUAAAGAGCUAUAUGCUCUAGUAAGGUCGCUUGAAACUUGGCAACAUUAUCUUUUGUCUAAAGAGUUUAUUAUUCAUACAGAUCAUGAGACUCUUAAGCAUUUGAGGGGCCAGACCACACUCAAGAAGAGGCAUGCUAGGUGGCUGGAGUUCGUGGAAACUUUUCCUUAUGUGAUCAAGUACAAGAAGGGAAAGGACAACAUAGUGGCCGACGCCCUAUCCCGGCGCCACACACUCAUUACCACCAUGGAGGCUAAGAUCAUGGGUUUUGAGCAACUCAAAAUGUCUUAUGAAACUGACCCUGAUUUUUCUGAGCUUUACAGUAACACGGCUAAGGGAGCCAUGGGUCCAUUCUAUCAGCAGGACGGAUUCCUCUUCAAGGAGAAGCGCCUGUGUAUCCCUCAUGGUUCCAUGCGAGAUUUACUGACCAGAGAAGCUCAUGGGGGUGGAUUGAUGGGGCAUUUCGGUCGGGACAAGACUCUGAGUGUCCUGUCCGACCACUUCUAUUGGCCCCGGAUGAGGCGCUACGUCGAGAGCCUUUGCUCCAAGUGCACUGUCUGUCUCAAAACCAAAUCCAGGUCGCAUCCUUAUGGUUUACACAUGCCUUUACCUAUUCCUAUUGCACCGUGGGUCGAUCUGUCUAUGGACUUUGUGCUGGGCUUGCCCAAGAUAGAACACAAGGAUUCUAUUUUUGUUGUAGUGGACAGGUUCUCCAAGAUGGCACACUUCAUUCCGUGUUCCAAAACCAAUGACGCAAGCCAAACCGCUGAUCUCUUCUUCAAGGAAGUGGUGCGUUUACAUGGAGUGCCUCGUACCAUCGUGUCCGACCGAGACACAAAAUUUCUCAGCCACUUCUGGAGGACAUUGUGGAAAAAGCUUGGAACCAAGCUCCUUUUCUCGACCACUUGCCAUCCACAGACUGAUGGACAGACCGAGGUAGUAAACCGUACACUCUCUCAGUUAUUGAGGGCUACGGUGGGUAAGAAUCUUAAAAACUGGCUGAGUUGUUUGCCUUUCAUUGAGUUUGCUUAUAAUCAUGCAAGGCACUCUAUUACUAACCUCUCCCCUUUUGAGAUCGUGUACGGCUUUAGACCAGAGACGCCCAUGGACCUAGCCGCAUUGCCCCCAGCCAUGCAAGUCAGCCAGAGUGGUGACAAAAAGGCUGAGUUUGUAAAGAACAUGCACCGGCAAGUCAAGGAGACUUUGGAGAAGAAGGCUGAAAGGAACCGGAUUAAGCUCAACAAGGGGCGCACAGAAGUUAUCUUCCAGCCAGGCGACUGGGUGUGGCUCCACAUGAGGCCAGAACGGUUUCCGGAAGAGAGGAAGAGCAAAUUAUCCCCACGGGGAGAUGGACCAUUCCGAGUGCUCGAUCGGAUCAAUGACAAUGCCUACCGGCUAGAACUGCCAGGUGAGUUCCAAGUUUCCCGAACGUUCAAUGUAUCUGAUUUGUCUCCUUAUAUUGCAGACGAUGGAGAUGUUCUGAGGACAGAACCUGUUCAAGAGGGAGGGGAUGUUGUAGUACCCACGACUGAGGUUCCCAUUAUCCGCAAAGGCCCUACCACAAGGUCCGGUUCAAGAGUUAUAAGAGCUGGAUUUGCCAAAGCUGUCCAGGAGUUGCUUGCACAGGAACAAACCGGGUUCAAGCAACUAUUGAUCCAGGAGUUGUCUGACUUGAAGCUGGAAGACACCGGUGAACCACUAGAGGUUCCAGACCCUGUCCAUUCGAGCCAGUUCUCCUCCAUCGGCCAGAAUGAAGCCGGCCUGACCAUUUCCACCUUCAUACUCAAUCCAUCCAACCAACUUGCUUCCGGUUCAGAGAUAUAGCCGACCAUCAGAAGGAGUAGUAUGUGUUGUACUCUUUUUCCUUAUCGAGGUUUUGUCCCACUGGGUUUUCCCGAAAGGUUUUAAUGAGGCAACAAGCAAGCAUACUAUGAGUUCUGAUCCGGACAUCUCAAACCGCGACCGGUCCAUUGCUUUCUUUAUUUUUAUUUCGGUUAAGACUUUGGCCAUUUGUCUAGGCCUUUUUAAUCUUUAAGUCCAGUAAGGAACAUCUAUUUAAACCCUUGUAGUUGCCAACUUUUCGGCUAAGUCUUUUAUGAAAUCGUUUUUGCUUUAGCAAAGAAACCCUAAGUCUUUCAGUUGUGUGAAACAUUGAGAGCAGCCGUGUGACAUAUCAAAGAGCCGAUCCAUUGUUCUUUGUGGCGUCCUUCGAUCCAUUCCAUUCCUUGUCCGAAUCUUGAGAGAGACAUACGUCCAGCAAGAGCCGGAUCCAUACUUAUCUUCCUGUCCGACCUAGGCAUCUUGCUGAGAGAGACAUACGUCCAGCAGCAGAUCCCAUCCGCCAAUCUACUCCUUUCUCUAUCUUUUGUUUUAGAUUUCAUUCAACCAAUUCCAUAAAAAAACCAAAAGAAUCAUAUCUAGUUUCUGUUCUUGUUCCUGUUGAAAACUCACUAAAGGUUCCUAUCUGUUUCAGGUUCGAACACAAGCAAGAGAUAAGCCGGCCAGUACCAUCCAUCCGAGGCAAGACUGAACCGCGGAACGGCCAUCCGUCCGUCCGUCCGUCCGUCCGUUCGACCCUCCGACCCGUGCCUACAACA
rnacentral:lncRNA from 1 species